AUGAGUCUAUUUUAUUGGAACUAUCGCGAUUUGGGCAACCCCACGAUAGUUCGAGAAGUCCAUGAUUUCACGGCUAAAUUUGCCCCAGCCAUACUAUGUCUCACUGAAACACAAAUAACUAGUGUAGGUGCUGAGAUUCUAGCUCAACCUUUUGGUUAUGAUAGAUCUUUUGUUGUUGGUAGCUCCGGGAGGAGUGGUGGUCUUGUAAUUUUUUGGAACGAUGCAAUAAAGCUAGAGAUUACCGGUUAUUUGAGGUACCAUAUUGAUGCUACUAUGGAUGAGAUUGGGCCUACACCAUAG
rnacentral:rRNA from 1 species